UUGCAAACUUGAUCACUAGCUCUUCAUGAUGUUGCAGAAAUCAAGGGAACAGAUUUUGCUAAAGUAAGCAUGGUCAUAGAACUAUAUCAGCCCUAGAAAUCAAAUGAUUGGGGCUGUUGAUUCUAUACCAUGAUAAGG